AGAUGGGAAAAUCCUAGAACAUCAGAUUUGGUCUUCGAUGUCGCUUGAGGUUCGAUGACAGAUCUCCAUCGCGCCUUCUUGGUAAGAUGACAUGGCAAAUAGGUGCUGCAGCUUAUAUCAAGUGUAGCUCAAAGGCCAAGAUGACAACUUAGAAGAAUAUAAGAUCCAUUUGACCAAGAUGACUUAGAACACUACUCCAAGAUGACAGCUGAAUGUGGAGAACAAGUACAAAUUGUGG